UGUCCCGGGAAAAUCCAACAGGAAGAGGCAAAAGUGGUCCCCGGCACGCUCGGGACACGGUCACGCUGUCCGGGGAGGACAGGAGGUGCCGUGGGAGAAGAGGGUGAAAGGACCCGCCCAGGAACGGCUCUGAGGAACAGCGGGGUCAGGCAUGGCCCUGCCAGGCUCCAGCCACUGCUCCUCCCUUGGCCAGGACCAGCACAGGAACCCAAACGAGCAGAAAUUCCCCCUUUUCCCUGGGAAUGUUUCUGACCAGCACAGGAACCCAAGCCAGGGAAUGUUUCUGAACCCAAAGAACAGAAAUUGCCCCGGUUCCCUGGCGUGUUUUCUGCCUGCUGUGCUGCCCGAGGCUGAGGGCACAGCCCCUCAGCCCUGCCUGUGCCCAUCCCAGACCCAGCAGGGUCUGCUCUCUGUGCCCCUCGUCCCCCUGGACCUGCUGCCUCCCCUGCAGCAGACACGAGGCACAGCUCAUCCCAUAAUAACCGGCUGCUUUGCUGUCUGCCAGCUCAGCAAGACCAGAGCCUUCUCUGCAUUCAUCCCACUUCUUUGCAGAGCUGCAAAUCUCUGCUUCCUCUCCGCAAUUCUUAAAAUACCCAUGGCAUCAGCUGGAUUUUAUUCCUUUUGCAGGGAGAAAAAUGAAGAAGGAAGGGCAAGAACAGAAGUCGCAAUUCUCCCUUCAGGAUUUGAUAAUUCUGAGAUUCAUAGGAGAAAAACCCUAAAUGACCCCAAAACCGCCUUCCCCAAGGGUUUGGAGCAGUUUUGGGGAACAACUGGUUCUAUGCUUCAAAAUGCAGGACUUGGCAGUGAAAGUGCAGCUCACCCUGGACCCUGGCAGAUAAAUUCAUGGGUUAAGGGGAAUUGCAGGCUUAAAGGGAACCCUCCUGUUCCAAACUGCAGGUGCUGGAGACAGCGAGAGCAGGGCCUGGCUGAGCACAGGGUGCUGAGCGCCCCACAAACCCUCCUCAGCCCCUCCUCUGCAGGGCAGCAGCCCGGGGGCAGGGUUGGGCAGUUUGUACCAGUGCUCUGUCCCAGCCCAGCUAAUCCCAGGUGAAGCUCUGUGCCAUUCCGGGAUCCUCCAGCCUCUGCCUCCUCUCACCUCACUGAAAAUCCCAUUGAGGGCUGGGGCCGUGGUGACUCAGGCUGGCCCCUGGAAAUGUGGGGCUG
rnacentral:lncRNA from 1 species